AUGGAGGGUGAGGUGAGCAGCUGCAGCUCGAGAGCCGUGGGGAACAGGAACAGGCAGACCGCCACACCCAGCAUCAGCCCCACCACGCCGGUCACCACUAAGGCCACGAACCCCAGCGUCAGCCCCACCACCUUGCACCGGCAUGGGAUGCUCCGAGUCGCUCAUAUGGCCUCAGAUGAACCUACUGAAACGGAACAGAGCCGGCAAGGAUCUAGAGGCAGCAGCGAGUAUUGA
rnacentral:rRNA from 1 species